rnacentral:rRNA from 1 species
UACGGGGGGAGCAAGCGUUGUUCGGAUUUACUGGGCGUAAAGGGCGCGUAGGCGGCACCGCAAGUCAGUUGUGAAAUCUCUGGGCUUAACCCAGAAAGGUCAACUGAUACUGCGGGGCUAGAGUGCAGAAGGGGCAACUGGAAUUCUCGGUGUAGCGGUGAAAUGCGUAGAUAUCGAGAGGAACACCUGCGGCGAAGGCGGGUUGCUGGGCUGACACUGACGCUGAUGCGCGAAAGCGUGGGGAGCGAACAGG